GCCGAGAACGCGAGCACGGACU
rnacentral:miRNA from 1 species